rfam:Triticum aestivum genome assembly, contig: Triticum_aestivum_CS42_TGACv1_scaffold_160488_2DL
CAUCUACUCCCUCCGUUCGGAAUUACUUGUCACAAAAAUGGAUAGAAAUGGAUGUAUCUAUAACUAAAAUACAUCUAGAUACAUUCAUUUCUUGGACGAGUAAUUCCGAACGGAGGGAGUAGAUG